rnacentral:rRNA from 1 species
AAGCGCUGGCAACCAGACUUGUGUGCGGGGGUUCCCCCUUGCUUCUGCUUGGGCUACUCCCCCGUAUCCAGGCCAACAUCGGUUUUGGCGGCCGGUUAAAGGCCUUGGGAAUGUAGCUUCUUUCGGGGAGUGUUAUAGCCCUCGGUGCAAUGCCGCCUACCUAGACCGAGGACCGCGCUUCGGCUAGGAUGCUGGCGUAAUGGUUGUAAGCGA